GUGUGGGUCCAAGUGGAGGGAUCACAUUUUAGUCAUUCAGUGAUUCAAAGAAUAUGACCUUUUAAUAUUCAUUCAGAUGUUUUCUGACUCUAAAUGUUCUUUUCUCAUUUCUUAGGGUUUUCUAAUUUACAAUUAAAACAUUUUCAGCUUUUUUCCAACUUCUUCUGUGUAACGUUCAGCUUUUAGCAGUUCAGCACCUUUGUUUUCAGGUUAAAUUCGGGUUUUUUUGGGGUUUUUUUUAAUCUCAUUCAAUAUUUUUAACUCAAAAUUCAGCAAUUAAUUCAUUUCAGUGCAUACAUUCAGAUUCAAGCAUUCACACUGCAGUUUCUUCAGAAAAUGCACUUUCUAGUUGUCAUUGUUACUCGUCAUGGAAAAUUCCAAAUCAAAUCACUUUUAUUGUCACAUCACAUGUGCAGGUACACUGGUACAGUACAUGCGAGUGAAAUUCUUGUGUGCAAGCUUCACAAGCAACAGAGGUGUGUAAAAAUACAAUAACAUAAGAACAAGCAAAAUAUAAGAAUGGGUAAAUCUGUGAAUUAUAUGAAUAAAUAUAUGUACAAUAUAAGAGUGUAUGCGCAUUACUGAAUGUGUAUACUAAAUAUGUAUAUCUACUAGAGAUGGACCGAUCCGAUAUUACGUAUCGGUAUCGGUCCGAUACUGACCUAAAUGACUGGAUCGGAUAUCGGAGAAAAAUAAAAAAUGUAAUCCGAUCCAUUAAAUAUCACGAAAGCACCUCACAAACUUGCAACACGCCGUAACUCACCUCGGUGAUCUGGAUAGCAUGUGGAGCUUCGCUAGCAACCCGGCAUUUCAUCUCCGACAAAGUUAUCCCCGAGAGAAGUAAAGCAAGUGUGUAAGUCCAUCUCUGAAUGUUUGUAAAGCAUUCCUGCUUUAAGCUUAACGAGCGACUGCCUCUUGCUCUCCGGCUGCUACUUCAAUCGUGAAACUGCUUAAAUGAUCAGCUGAUCGGCUUUUCUGUCCUGAGUCCAUCUUUGUUUUUGGCCCACUUUGCACCAGAAAGAGGAAACCAGCAGCUGAACAACAGCAGCACGUUUAAGCUUGAUCAGCUGUUGUUAGAAUUUAUUUAAUAUUACUUUCUACACCAGGAUCUUUUUCUACGUAGCUGACGGCUGGUAACUGUGCAGGGGCGGAUCUAGCAAAGUUUAGCCAGGGGGGCCGAUAGGGCAUGAACAGGGAAAAGGGGGCACAAAGACAUACUUUUCUUUCUUAUUCUCAUUUAAAAUGUCGAGCUUUUAAUAAAUAAUUAUCUGACAGCCAAAGUUUUAAUUUGAUGUAAAAUGAAUAGAAGUCAAUUACUGUAUAUAGUGACUAUUAAGUCUAAUAUAUAUAUACCCUAGUAAGCUAUAGUACUUUUUCCUUUGGGAAGGUACCAUCUGUGCAGUCUGCAAUUUUGUUGAAGAAAGAUGUUGAAUCUAUUUAAUAUUUCUUGAAAAAUAAUUGAUUUCUGUGCAUUUUUUUUCACACUGCAUCAAAUUAAGGUUGAUUACGUCGAUUAAGCAUCAUGAGGUGGAGCGUGAGGGGUGGUUCCCUAUUUUUUAUUUAUUUAUUUUUGUUGUUGCUGGGAGUUGGAACCCUAUUAGUUAGGUUGCUUAAUAUUUAUGCUAAGUACUCUUUAAAAAACCAGAAUAGGGAGGAUGGUGUAGGUCUAAGUUUAUUAGAUUGAUCAGUAUUGCUGAACUAUGAAAUAUUUUUUUUGUAUACAGGUAUAACAGAAUAGCUUUAGUGUAGUUGUUGUUUUAAACUUGAGUAUGAACUUGCAGACUUGCAAAAUGCAGCAAGAUAUUUUAAAAAACAGUUUUGUUGAUUAAAAAACACUAUAUCGGAUUCAUAUCGGUAUCGGCAGAUAUCCAAAUUUAUGAUAUCGGUAUCGGUAUCGGACAUAAAAAAGUGGUAUCGUGCCAUCUCUAAUAUCUACGUGUGUGUGUAUGUAUAUUAU
ensembl:lncRNA